AGUGAACGCUGGCGGUAGGCCUAACACAUGCAAGUCGAACGGCAGCACAGUAAAAGCUUGCUCUUACGGGUCGCGAGUGGCGGACGGGUGAAGAAUACAUCGGAAUCUACUUUUUCGUGGGGGAUAACGUAGGGAAACUUACGCUAAUACCGCAUACGACCUACGGGUGAAAGCAGGGGAUCUUCGGACCUUGCGCGAUUGAAUGAGCCGAUGUCGGAUUAGCUAGUUGGCGGGGUAAAGGCCCACCAAGGCGACGAUCCGUAGCUGGUCUGAGAGGAUGAUCAGCCACACUGGAACUGAGACACGGUCCAGACUCCUACGGGAGGCAGCAGUGGGGAAUAUUGGACAAUGGGCGCAAGCCUGAUCCAGCCAUACCGCGUGGGUGAAGAAGGCCUUCGGGUUGUAAAGCCCUUUUGUUGGGAAAGAAAAGCAGCAGGUUAAUACCCCGCUGUUCUGACGGUACCCAAAGAAUAAGCACCGGCUAACUUCGUG
rnacentral:rRNA from 1 species